rnacentral:lncRNA from 1 species
GCUUCUUCCAAACACUUAUCUUAAUUUCUGCACUUCUCAGAGAAAUAGGUAAGUCCACUUGGAUUCUGGAACUGUGGCCAUUUCUUCUUCUUCUUCUAAGUGUGCCACAUUUCUGCAGGGGUCUGUCAGUAGCUGCUGAUUGUUGAGGAUAAGUAGGCUCAGGGAUUUGCUGCAUUGUGGGAGGUUUUCAAGCAAAUCGGCCUGUGUUGCUUCUUCUUCUUUGCAUGAUGGAAUAUUGUAGUGGGUUGGGGUAGUGCAACCGGCAAAAGCUCUCUGGGGCUUACAAUAUAGGUGAGGAACAUGCAGUCUUCCAGAUGUCAUUGGACUCCAACUCUCCAAUAAAUGGGAGCAGCAGUCCAGCACCUUCUAGAGUGCCGCAGGUUCCUCACCACUGCUUUACCAGCAUAGAUGAGAAUGUUUCUUGAAUAUUGUUAUUGGGGUAGAAAGUCCAAUGGUAGGUUGCUUCCUUUUCAGUAGAAUUCAAAACCUUUGUGGUAGAGGUAUGGUUGCCAGUUGUUGCCACAGGUUCCUCACCACUGAUUUACAUGCUUAGAUGAGAUACUUGAUUGAGAUUUAUCAUUGGUCCAAAUGGAAGGUAGCUUCCUUUUUGCUAGAACUCACAAGCUUUGCAGUAGCAAUAGCAGUGGUGGAGGCAGUUGUUGCCUUCUACACAGCUCUACCAUGAAGCUGUGAGUCCCACCAAGAGGAAACUACCAGGCCCUUGGACUAUCUAUCCUAAAAUGUGUCAGGCUGAAGUAUUUCUCAUUCUUUCUAUGAGAGGUCCUUUAAACUGAUACCACCACUAUUUAGACCUGGGACCUUCUGCACUUUCUCAUUUGGUUAAGGGAAUUGCUUAUAUUGAGUCAGAAGACUGGCUCAUCUAAAUUGUAGAGUUGGAGGAGGCCAUAUAGAUUUACAAGAACAAUUUUCUACUCAAUGAGGAAAAUCCAGAGCUUGAUAAUCCAGAAUAUAUUACUGCCCAGCUAUGAGUCCCACAAAGAGGAAGUUACCAAGCAAUCAGAUUAUCUUUUCCAUGGUGUGCAAGUAGAUGGCCUUUUGGUCUGAUCCAACAGAGCCCUUAACCUGUGUCUGUCUCAGACUUCUGGGAAUUCUGCAUAACACUGACUCUUCUUUUAGAUCUACCUCUAAACCUCAAAGAUGUCUUAUGGCCGUCGUUCUGGUAUGUGGCAGGAUCCUUGCUAUGCCCAGUGCCCUCCUUCAACAGUGACCAUCCGACCACCACCUUUUGUCCUGACCAUCCCAGGGCCAGCUCUCUGUUGCCCUGACCAGCCUUUCUGCAUUGAGCAGUACAACCCAUGUGCUAGAUACACUCACGGAAGACCUUCUCUGUAUGGCAGUGGUGGCUCCAACGUGUCCGACUUCUACUCUCAGCCCCAGCUACCAUGCAACUAUGGUAGCUGCCAAUUCUAAAUCAAGACCAAAGAAGGAUGUGCAUGGAAGAACAAUGGGGCAAACAAAAAUAAGGAAGAGCUGGACCGGUUCUUACCACUGCCUUCUGAGAGAUUGAACACCCAGCAUCAGAACUGGCACAAGCAACAACCUGUGGCAUCUGAAUUGGGAAUUAUGGAAUUGGGAGAAAGAGCCAGAGAGAGAUUGCAAUAUGAACGCCACACUGGGGCCCUUCCCUAAAUUCCCCAGUGUAAUGUCCUAAGAUCUCUCUCCUCCCAAAAAGAAAAAGGAAAUGCAACCCUGAUUGUGAAUGCUCCCAUUUCUGAACAUGCAUUGUAUACCCUUUUGGUUUGUGAUCUUCUUCCAUCCUGUUCUACGACCCUUCUUUUUCUUGCGGGAAGAAAGUAUUAUGGAACAUGGUUUCUUUCAGUCUGUAUUCUGUUUGCCCUUUUCACUGAACUAUUUGCAUCUCUUUGCUCUCAUAUUAAAAUUUCAAUUGCAUCGCAAA